ACGGAAGGCAGCAGUGGGGAAUAUUGCACAAUGGGCGAAAGCCUGAUGCAGCGACGCCGCGUGAACGAAGAAGUAUUUCGGUAUGUAAAGUUCUAUCAGCAGGGAUGAUAAUGACGGUACCUGACUAAGAAGCACCGGCUAAAUACGUGCCAGCAGCCGCGGUAAUACGUAUGGUGCAAGCGUUAUCCGGAUUUACUGGGUGUAAAGGGAGCGCAGGCGGUACGGCAAGUCUGAUGUGAAAGCCCGGGGCUCAACCCCGGUACUGCAUUGGAAACUGUCGAACUAGAGUGUCGGAGGGGUAAGUGGAAUUCCUAGUGUAGCGGUGAAAUGCGUAGAUAUUAGGAGGAACACCAGUGGCGAAGGCGACUUACUGGACGAUAACUGACGCUGAGGCUCGAAAGCGUGGGGAGCAAACAGGAUUAGAUACCCUGGUA
rnacentral:rRNA from 1 species